CAGGAGACUCGGGUUCAAUUUCCGGAUCAGACAGAUCCCCUGGAGAAGGAAAUGGCAAUCCACUCAAGCACUCUUGCCUGGAAAAUCCCAUAGACAGAGGAGCCUGAUUGGCUACAGUCCAUGGGGUCGCAAAGAGUCGGACACGACUGAGCGACAUAUGCAAUCACCUGAUCCAUGCAAUCUGAAUUCAACUAUGGAACCAAAGACACCAGCACUGUCCAGCCCCCGUCCUGGUCAUCAACGUUUGCCAGAGGAAUUGCAUGAACUAAAUACAGAGUUUUGUGAUGAAAGUGUAACAUACUCAGAACUCAAAGUUCGUGAUUCUUCAAAUAUUCAGAAGAGAAAACUAACUAGGAUUUGGAAAACAAAAGUUAAUUGUCUAGAAGAAAUUCUGAAUACACAGCAAAACAAUAAGUCAAUUGUGGCUGGACUUUGCAACACAAUAUAGCAAAACAGAGGUAAUUGGUCCUUCUCUGAAGAAAAUUGAUAUCUUAUUUCUGCUGAAAAUAAGAUCUUGGCAGCAAGGAAAUUGUCCUGAAGCCCUGAGCUCCAGUCUUAUCAAGACAUAAAGAAGAACUGGAAAUGUAUGGCACAAUAACUCUCCUUACAUUUUCUUAUACAGAAGAUAAUUACAGAGACAAUUUUAACAUUUUGUGUUCAUUCAAGCAUGCUAAACUCAACAUAUUGUAAUAACUGGAGAUCUCUUAAUCAAACCCAAACAUCAAAAUAUGGGCUUAAAUGGUUAUGUGAUUUUUAAAUUUUAAAUAUAUUUGUACAUAAAAGUAAAUGCUAAUAUAUUAAAAUCUCAGACCCUGGUAAAUAAACGAGAGGAAACCACAUAGCACAUAUGCACUAAGGAGCAUUUAGUCACAAUCAGCACUUAAAAAAUACCUAACAUUUAUUGAUUGCUUCUAAUGUUCCCAAUACUACUUCAAUGAAUCACAUAUUAGAUCAUGUACUGCCCCAAUAAUUCCUACAAAAGUGUAUUAUCUUUAUGGAUGUCAUAUUAAUAAAGAAACUGAGACCCAGAAAGAAUGAGGAAUUUUCCAAAGUUGUAUAGCUAGUAAAAAAUAGAAACAUAAUUUAAGCCAAGAUAGGUUUACUCUAGAGAUUACACAUGGAAACUUUAUGCUAUGCUGACCUCAGAACAAUAAGUAAUGUCAGAUCAAGAUGUAAAAAUAUUGCUUCUUCAGAAAUAAUGAGGGCUGCAGAUUUACAUUUCCCCCUGGCUGUAUCUUUCAGAGAGAAACAAAUGAGAAAAAUAACUUUCAAGAAUGAAAUAUUAUACUAGCUCUUUUUAUAAAGAGUAUGUUAUGAAUAUUUUAUACUAAUCAUUCUCUGGAAUAUGGAAGAAAGAGACUAAUAAAAGUGAUAUUUUUCACCUUAGUAGACUCCAGCAAGCUUAAAGAAUAUAGGUUUCCUUUAUUUUUAGUUCUCAUCUACUAUGUGACUGUAUAUUAUUUCUUUUUUUAUUGCAUUCAAGUUCUGUUAUUGCCUUUAAUAAAGACUUCCGUCUAUAGCAUGAUGAUAAGUUGAUGGCAUAUAUGCUGACAAUUUCCAUAUGAUGCCCUUGGGAGACACACCUCAUAAUUUCAGCAUUCCUCCCUGCCAAGGCUGGCCUCUGCUCUAAAUAAUUCCUGACAAUCUUUCCCAGUUGCAUUGCUCCCAUCUCAACCACACAAAAUGCUCUAAAUUGAAUUUAUAUACACAGAUAAUUGGGCUUCCCAGGGCUCAAUGAUAAAGAAUCUGCUUACCAAUGUAGGAGACGCAGGAGACAUGGGUUUGAUCCCUGGGUUGGGAAGAUGCCCUGGAGGAGAAAAGCCAACCCACUCCAGUACGCUUGCCUGAAAAAUCCUAUGGACAGAGGAGUCUGAUGGGCCACAGUCUAUAGAGUUGCAAAGAGUCAGACACCAUUAAGUGACUGAGCAUGCAUACAUAUCAAUAGUGAACUCUUUCCUCUUUCAGGAAAAACAAUUUUAAAAAUGUAUAAACAAAGUAACACAUUUGUUAAGGCAGUGUCUCCUAAUGAUCCCUUACCUCAAAAUGUGAUUUUGUAAAUACAGGUUACCCAUAACUUACAGUGGAAUAGCUAAUGUCUGUGAAUAUCCCAAAACUGAUAGAGGACAUCAAACUACACAAUGCCAAAGCAUUCCGAAUUCCUGUCUGGUGAACAAAAUAAAAACAAUGUUACGUAUAUCAUGCUUAAUUGCUGAAAACCAAAGAUAAAUGGAAGCUGAAAGGCAGGCAGUAAAAUACAGAAUUUAUAUAUUUGUAUAUUUAUUUUUUAAUGCUUUUUUUUUUGGUCUUUACUGAGUUUGUCAUAACAUUGCUUCUGUUUUCUGUUUUGGUUUUUUUUUGCCCACGAGGCACACGGGACCUGAGCUCCCUGACCAGGGAUUAAACCCACAUCCUCUGCAUUGUAAAGUCGAGUCUUAACCACUGGACAAACAGGGAAGUCCAGAAUUUACUUUUAAAGAAGGAAUUAGUAGCUAAUAUCUAAAAAGAAAAAAGAAAGCAUGGACGUAUUGAAAGACAAUUGUUUUACAAAACUCUAUCCCCAGAGAAAAGAUAAUUAUAUGAGAAUCAUAUGAAGAUAUACUUAUAUUCCAUAGGUGAAAUAAAGAUAAUUUAAGAUAGGCAGAGAAAAAUUGUCAUUACCUUAGGUCUAUGCUAAGGAUAUACUAUAAGGUCCAUUAGAAAAUAAUCCCAAAUGGAACCUCUAAGAUUCAGGAUAAAGGGCAAUGAAAUAGGUAAAUGCAGGUAUAAAUCUAAAUGAAUAGUUAUAACAUAAAACCAUAAUAUUAGUGUCUAUAGUUUAAAAUUGCAUAAGCUUGAACUACACUGUAAAUGUUGCAUUUAAAUUAAAAGGAGGAUAUGGAGUUAAAAGGACCUAAGGCUAUGGCCCAGAGAGUAAAGAAUCUGCCUGCAAGGUAGACAUGCAGGUUAAAUCUCUGGGUCAGGAAGAUCCACUGGAAAUAUUGCUUGGGAAAGCCUAUGGACAGAGGAGACUGGGGAACUACAGUCCACAUGAUCACAAAAGAGUUGGAUGUGCAGCAAAAACAACAAGAAGGCUAUUAAAAUGUCUAAGAAGAGGUAAAGGAAUUAUUUAUCUUGGGCAUUACUAGGUCAAGAAUGCAUGUUGAGUGGGAGGGGGGUUCAUAUUUGGAAAAGCAUGUACACUCAUGGUGGAUUCAUGUCAAUGUAUGGCAAAACCAAUACAAUAUUGUAAAGUAAAAUAAAGUAAAAAUAAAAAUUAAAAAAUAUAUAUAAUAGAAAAAUAAAAUAAAAUAAAAC
ensembl:lncRNA